rnacentral:lncRNA from 1 species
UGACGCCCCCAAAAUAGGUAUUCAUCACCCAUUCUGAGUUGUCAAAUACAUGGUACAGAAAUAACUACAACUUUAUUAUUACAACAUAAAAACUGUGAGUUUAAAAUACAAAUAUUGUCAUCUAGACAAUAUCAAUACCCAAAUAAAUCCUCAUCACAAUUAUUGAUACAUUAUUUUAUGAAAAUGGUGAGGACUACUAAACAACUCUCUCUAGAACCAUCAUU